rnacentral:rRNA from 1 species
AACGAACGCUGGCGGCAUGCCUAACACAUGCAAGUCGAACGGGAUCCUAGCUUCGGUUAGGUGAGAGUGGCGGACGGGUGAGUAACACGUGGGAACCUGCCCAUUGGUCUGGGAUAACCGCGGGAAACUGCGGCUAAUACCGGAUGUACCCGUGAGGGGAAAGAUUUAUCGCCGAUGGAGGGGCCCGCGUCCGAUUAGGUAGUUGGUGGGGUAAUGGCCUACCAAGCCAACGAUCGGUAGCUGGUCUGAGAGGAUGAUCAGCCACACUGGGACUGAGAUACGGCCCAGACUCCUACGGGAGGCAGCAGUGGGGAAUAUUGGACAAUGGGGGCAACCCUGAUCCAGCAAUGCCGCGUGAGUGAUGAAGGCCUUAGGGUUGUAAAGCUCUUUUGCCAGGGAAGAUGAUGACGGUACCUGGAGAAUAAGCCCCGGCUAACUUCGUG